rnacentral:rRNA from 1 species
GCUUGCUGCUUCGCUGACGAGUGGCGGACGGGUGAGUAAUGUCUGGGAAACUGCCUGAUGGAGGGGGAUAACUACUGGAAACGGUAGCUAAUACCGCAUAACGUCGCAAGACCAAAGAGGGGGACCUUCGGGCCUCUUGCCAUCGGAUGUGCCCAGAUGGGAUUAGCUUGUUGGUGGGGUAACGGCUCACCUAGGCGACGAUCCCUAGCUGGUCUGAGAGGAUGACCAGCCACACUGGAACUGAGACACGGUCCAGACUCCUACGGGAGGCAGCAGUGGGGAAUAUUGCACAAUGGGCGCAAGCCUGAUGCAGCCAUGCCGCGUGUAUGAAGAAGGCCUUCGGGUUGUAAAGUACUUUCAGCGGGGAGGAAGGGAGUAAAGUUAAUACCUUUGCUCAUUGACGUUACCCGCAGAAGAAGCACCGGCUAACUCCGUGCCAGCAGCCGCGGUAAUACGGAGGGUGCAAGCGUUAAUCGGAAUUACUGGGCGUAAAGCGCACGCAGGCGGUUUGUUAAGUCAGAUGUGAAAUCCCCGGGCUCAACCUGGGAACUGCAUCUGAUACUGGCAAGCUUGAGUCUCGUAGAGGGGGGUAGAAUUCCAGGUGUAGCGGUGAAAUGCGUAGAGAUCUGGAGGAAUACCGGUGGCGAAGGCGGCCCCCUGGACGAAGACUGACGCUCAGUGCGAAAGCGUGGGGGAGCAAACA